GAAUCCUACGGGAGGCAGCAGUGAGGAAUAUUGGUCAAUGGUCGGGAGACUGAACCAGCCAAGCCGCGUGAGGGAUGAAGGUACAGAGUAUCGUAAACCUCUUUUGUCAGGGAACAAAGGCGGGGACGCGUCCCCGGAUGAGUGUACCUGAAGAAAAAGUAUCGGCUAACUCCGUGCCAGCAGCCGCGGUAAUACGGAGGAUGCGAGCGUUAUCCGGAUUUAUUGGGUUUAAAGGGUGCGCAGGCGGUCUGUUAAGUCUGGAGUGAAAGGUACCGGCUCAACCGGUACAGGC
rnacentral:rRNA from 1 species